UCCUGAGUGGCGCAAUGGAGCAGUGGGUCUGGCUGUUAACCAGAAGAUUGGUGGUUUGAACCCACCCAGGGA